AACGAACGCUGGCGGCGCGCCUAAUACAUGCAAGUCGAGCGAGAAGACGUAGCAAUACGUUUGUAAAGCGGCGAACGGGUGAGGAACACAUGGGUAACCUACCCUAGAGUGGGGAAUAACUAGCCGAAAGGUUAGCUAAUACCGCGUACGCUCCUUGGACUUCGGUACAGGGAGGAAAGCGAUACCGUGGGUAUCGCGCUCUUGGAUGGGCUCAUGUCCUAUCAGCUUGUUGGUGAGGAACGGCUCACCAAGGCUUCGACGGGUAGCUGGUCUGAGAGGACGAUCAGCCACACUGGCACUGCGACACGGGCCAGACUCCUACGGGAGGCAGCAGUGGGGAAUAUUGGACAAUGGGGGAAACCCUGAUCCAGCGACGCCGCGUGGGUGAAGAAGGCC
rnacentral:rRNA from 1 species